rnacentral:rRNA from 1 species
UACUUAGGAAUCUGCCCAGUAGUGGGGGACAACUCGGGGAAACUCGAGCUAAUACCGCAUACGCCUACGGGGAAGGCGGGGAGUCUUCGGACCUCGCGCUAUUGGAUGAGCCUAAGUCGGAUUAGCUUGUUGGUGAGGUAAAAGCUCACCAAGGCGACGAUCCGUAGCUGGUCUGAGAGGACGAUCAGCCACACUGGGACUGAGACACGGCCCAGACUCCUACGGGAGGCAGCAGUGGGGAAUAUUGGACAAUGGGCGCAAGCCUGAUCCAGCAAUGCCGCGUGUGUGAAGAAGGCCUGC